rnacentral:rRNA from 1 species
AUACGUAGGGUGCAAGCGUUAUCCGGAAUUAUUGGGCGUAAAGAGCUCGUAGGCGGCUUGUCGCGUCCGGUGUGAAAGUCCAUCGCUUAACGGUGGAUCUGCGCCGGGUACGGGCAGGCUAGAAUGCGGUAGGGGAGACUGGAAUUCCCGGUGUAACGGUGGAAUGUGUAGAUAUCGGGAAGAACACCAAUGGCGAAGGCAGGUCUCUGGGCCGUUAUUGACGCUGAGGAGCGAAAGCGUGGGGAGCGAACAGGAUUAGAUACCCUGGUAGUCCACGCCGUAAACGGUGGACGCUGGAUGUGGGGCCCGUUCCACGGGUUCCGUGUCGGAGCUAACGCGUUAAGCGUCCCGCCUGGGGAGUACGGCCGCAAGGCUAAA